rnacentral:rRNA from 1 species
UACGUAGGGUGCGAGCGUUGUCCGGAAUUAUUGGGCGUAAAGAGCUCGUAGGCGGUUUGGCAAGUCGGGUGUGAAAACUCCGGCUCAACUCGGAGACGCCACUCGAUACUGCCAUGACUCGAGUCCGGUAGGGGAGUGCGGAAUUCCUGGUGUAGCGGUGAAAUGCGCAGAUAUCAGGAGGAACACCGGUGGCGAAGGCGGCACUCUGGGCCGGUACUGACGCUGAGGAGCGAAAGCGUGGGGAGCGAACAGG